rnacentral:rRNA from 1 species
GACGAACGCUGGCGGCGUGCUUAACACAUGCAAGUCGAGCGGUAAGGCCCUUUCGGGGGUACACGAGCGGCGAACGGGUGAGUAACACGUGGGUGACCUGCCCUCAGCUCUGGGAUAAGCCCGGGAAACUGGGUCUAAUACCGGAUAUGACUCCAUGACGCAUGUUGUGGGGUGGAAAGCCUUGUGCGGCUGAGGAUGGGCCCGCGGCCUAUCAGCUUGUUGGUGGGGCGAUGGCCUACCAAGGCGACGACGGGUAGCCGGCCUGAGAGGGCGACCGGCCACACUGGGACUGAGACACGGCCCAGACUCCUACGGGAGGCAGCAGUGGGGAAUCUUGCGCAAUGGGCGAAAGCCUGACGCAGCGACGCCGCGUGAGGGAUGACGGCCUGG